rnacentral:lncRNA from 1 species
GAUGCUGGAGAGCUGGGUGAGCCGGGACCGCGGGGACGAAAGGGAGAUGCUGGCCCCCAGGGCCCUCCUGGGGUGCCGGGACUGGGAGCUGCACCGGGGGAGGCUGGAGAGAAAGGCCACAAAGGAGAGAAGGGCCAGGAGGGGCUGCUGGGCCAGCUUGGUGUCAGCGGUGCUGCAGGACCCGCCGGAGCCCGGGGACGCUCUGGUGGGACAGGUCUGCGAGGCCCUCCCGGGCUCCAUGGUCUUGAAGGAGUGAAGGGUGAUGCAGGACCCUGCGGCAGGGAUGGAGCUGCCGGAGCAGCUGGGCUGGAGGGACCCGCAGGAGAGGAUGGAGCAAAGGGAGACCCCGGCCAUCCUGGCCCUGUGGGCUCAGUGGGUGCACGUGGGCGGCCGGGCGGCCCUGGCUUCAAGGGCUACAUUGGGCACCGAGGAGCUGGGGGAGCAGCGGGCACACGGGGGCAGCCGGGCCGACAGGUG